rnacentral:rRNA from 1 species
CAGCAGCCGCGGUAAUACGUAGGGUGCGAGCGUUAAUCGGAAUUACUGGGCGUAAAGCGUGCGCAGGCGGUUGUGUAAGACAGGUGUGAAAUCCCCGGGCUUAACCUGGGAACUGCGCUUGUGACUGCACAGCUAGAGUAUGGCAGAGGGGGGUGGAAUUCCAUGUGUAGCAGUGAAAUGCGUAGAGAUGUGGAGGAACACCGAUGGCGAAGGCAGCCCCCUGGGCCAAUACUGACGCUCAUGCACGAAAGCGUGGGGAGCAAACAGGAUUAGAUACCCGUGUAGUCCCUGUCUCUUAUAC